rnacentral:lncRNA from 1 species
CUGUGCCUCCUGAUUGCUGAGUGCUCACCUGGACCCUCUGAUGACCUUCCUUCUGCUAAUCCAUCAGCCUGCAGACCUGGUACCUGGAUUUUUGUCCAUGGUGAUUCCUACCACCUUACUACUGAAGAAGACUCCAUUCCAGUGGACCACUGUGACCCAAGAAGCAUCUGAUACACAUGGUACCAUGGCACCCAAUGUAAACCAGCUACAGUAAGGAGUGAA